GGCGCAUGCUGCUCGCAGCACUGGCUUCGCCAUACUCCUCUCUUCUGCGGCGACGCGGACUCUGGCAGCCACCGCCGCGCGUAAUCGUCGUGCGCCGCCGACGCGGGGCGGUCGAAGAGACCUCGGCAACGACACCUCUCCCCUAAAGUAGUAUGGACCCUCCUCUUCAUCUCGUGCACAUCAAGAUUCUCGCUGCGGACCUUCUGUCCCUUACCGUGCAGCAGACUUCACCGCCUUCCUUUCUUCGCCGUGGCCGUACGGUCGCUCGUGCAGAGCUUGUCGGAAUUGUGAUCUCUCGUGACCGUAGGGAGAAGUUCCUCCGCUUCUUGAUCGAUGAUGGCACUGGCUGUGUACCGUGCAUCCUAUGGUUGAACCACCAAUAUCUAAAUGCAAACACUUCCUCCGGGCCAUCAGGUUCUGAUCCUACUGCAGAGAUGGCAUUGAAGAUGUCAGAGGAGGUGCGUCUAGGCACUCUUGUGAGGGUCCGAGGAAAGAUUGUCAUGUAUCGUGGUGCGAUCCAGAUUGCUGUUAGAGAUGUGGUCCUGGAGAAGGACCCCAAUGCAGAGGUGUUACAUUGGUUACAAUGUGUUUGCUUGGCCAAGGAGUGCUAUGAUCUGCCACCUGCUCAAGGUGCCACUUGAAUGGAAUCUAUGAAGUGUAAAUCUCUGUGCUUGCUGGAGAGCAAAUCUCUUCUUACAUGAUCAAGUUGUGCAUAAUAAUCCUUAUUAAUGAAAUACAUUGGUUGCGGGAGAUUCACACUGAAUCGAGUACUUGGGUUGUUUGUAACUGCAUUAAGAAGUCUAAUGCAGCAUCACCAAGUGAUUUCCCAUCACAAUCUCCUUCAGAUCCAAAUUCCUUAUUUGGAUUGAGUGCAAAAAGAAGUUCUAUCUUUCCCAGUAAGGACUUACAAACUCUGAUUUGGCUGAUGGUGAGAAUGCUUUGCGAGCCAAUGUUUAUGUUAAAGUUAAACUUUAAGAGUGGCUUUUGCUUGUGUGCAGGUUUGAAAAACCCAUGGACCAAACUGUUGUUUCCUGUCAGCUAUAUAUUGCUUCUCCUUAAAAUUUAUAGCCCUAUCUUUAGUUACACAAUGUUUGAGUGGAGUCUGAUUAAAUCUUAGAAUCUCCUCAGCCUUUCAUGACACAUAAGUUGGACAAAAAAGAUGCAAAAUUGCAUGACUUAAAAGUAUCUGUUGUUCAAUUUGAGCUUGGGCAUUCAGUUCUUAUUUUUGUCACAGCUGCUAAAAGCAUGCACCAUGCAUUGUUCAAAGCAUUUUUUUACCUUCACAUUGACAACGUAUUGCUGUAAAGAUAACUUUAAUCUCAGAUAUACCAUCAUCUCUAGGACAACAUUCUUUUUUUUCAUACUGAAAGGACAACAUUCUCUUAUUUUUCAUACUGAAAGGAAAACAUUCUUUCAUUAGCUAGAAGUUACAGUAUGUAGUCAUAACUUUAAGGAAACUUGUCGUCUUUAGAGGUCAUUGGACAACUUUUGAUCCAGAAUGGACCCAUUGGGUUCAGAAAGUUGGCACCUUCUGAUGAUUCCCACUUGCCUUUUCUCCUCUUCUCUCCUGCUUUAUCCAUGGAGAUCUAAAUCUUUGCAUCAGAAUCUGCUGAGACCACCCCAAGGGAGGCAUAUCAAAAGAGGAGCUCAGUAGUACAAUCAUUUCUCGCAACAUUCUUCAGUCACUUGGUUGAUUCCCUGUAUAUGCACUUCCCUAAAGGCUUCCUUUUUAGCACGCCAAAGAGACAGCCCAUGUUAUUGUGUUGCUAGUAAAUUUUCCAAUCUUCUACAUGGUCCCUUUCUAACAUAUUAGUAUGCCACUCACAUGCUUUCGAAUAUGUUGAUUGGAGAUCAUUAGCUUCUGAAACAUGUAGUUAGACCAUCAUGGACGCUUAAAAAUGAAUAUUAGGAUAACAUUUCUAUUCUCCAUAUUUAUGUUUGUAUAUGUAUGCCUGAUCCCAGGGAUGUGCAUGGAUUGGGAGCUGGAGACGUAUAAUGUGCUUGGCGACCAUAAACAAGGCCGUGUUGGUUUAUGUUUUAUAUCUAAUUUCAAGAAUGGAAAUAUCUCAUCCAGGGAACAUAUUCUCGUGACGUUUCAAGAGAUCGUUAUGUUACUUCGCCCCUAGGGGACCAAUAAACUUCCCUGGAUCUUAUGAUCUUUAAUUGUUUAUAGUACUUGGAUAAGUAGGAUGCCUUAAAAUUAAACCAGAGAGCUGUUCAGACUUGCAACACGGAAUCCACAUAUAUUAGAGUAAGUACAAAUAUCAUUGUUCUUUGCUUUAUGUUUUACGAUUCUGUUUGAGAUCUAAGUGUCUUCUUAAAUGUGUUAUAUAGAUGUUUUACUUUGACAAAUUAUGCUUCUUUGCUAAUCCUGUUUUUUCUUUUGUGGUGGCGAGGGUCUACUAUUUAACCCUUAAAAAACUGGAAAUAUAUUCCCUUAUAACCUAUAGAAUUUUGCAACUGCUCUCUUUCUUAAUUAUGCAUUUUGCUCCUCUCAGUCACCUGCUGUCUUGCUCAUAUUCCGUAUACAGUUGAGAAACCAUUUAAGGUAAAAAAAAACUGUGUGAAACAUAAUUUAUGUUGUUUCUUUCAAUCUAAUCUUGCUCUGGGUAGUCUUCUGCUCAACCCUCCUCAAUGAAACCAUGUCAAUGGAAUGUUCAUUCGUCCUAGGAACAUCAAGCAGUGGGAUCAUAGCUUAACUUCAGAGCUACAGUUUUUAAUGUGAGUACUGAGUGUGCCAGGUGAUUGAUCCGGUUAUAAUUUUAGAUCAGUAUGUUAUUUUUCCUGUAGAAGCGAGGCCAAUACUGAAGCCUGGUAAUGAUUAGAUUCUGUAAGAACUUCAAUAGCUCUAGCAAACCCAUCCACAUAGCACAUUCUGCAGCAUGCUUGGCGAGUAAAAAUGGAAAAAGGAAAUAGUGGCUUCAGACGCAGAGGCCAGCCAAGCAGUAGAUACACAUGGAAACAUGUAAAUUUGUUCCCAAUAUUGCGGCCAUGGUGCAUGUGACUCCAUGUGGCGCAACAGAAGACCGGUCAGACAACCAUUGGAGAGUGGAGACCUCAGCUACACAGCUGUGUAUGUGUCAUGUGUGAGUGUGUGUUGGAAGCUUCAUGCUCAUGAGCCUGGUGUCAACUCACGUGUGCAGUGCACAAGCUUGGACUGAUGCCUGGUGGACUGCUCCCAGCAGCACUCAUAUGUAGGCAGAAAUAAUUAGUGAGGCCGCAGUAGCGCAUGCAUGCUCUUGUUCUGCUGCUCAGACUAGCUGGGCGCCGCUGCAUUUCUGUCUCUGCAUAUCUGGAACUGGAAGUCAGAUGGUUGACGUCCCACAUGCUUUAUUUAUAAUGCAUUGUAUCUGUAUUACUGUACAAAGACACUUGUAUUUAAGGCGAUGGAGAAGGGUGGUUGUUUGGAUGAAAAAUAGUUCUGUUAUGAAGUUAAUAUAUAUAUCUCUUGAUAUUAAGUAUUAGUUUAGGAUUUAAUAAGUUGAUUUGUACUACUGUCUUGCCUUUGAAUGUUUUCUUCUCUAAUCUCUAGCUCUCAAUGCUUUCUAAUGUUUACUGGCAUGCUUACUUGCAGCGGUGUUUCGAAGAUAUGGUAGUGUCUGCCUUUCAUCAGUCGGGCUACAGGUGCCCCUGGCUAGGUGGAGAUAAUGUGGCGGGUAACUGAUAUCAUGUGGCGAAGGAUCUCAAUUUAAUCAGCCAGUCAAAGGUAGAUCUGGACCUGCCCAGUCGCCACAAAUGCAGUGGGCCACAUGUGGGAUGGGGAAAGGUCAUGUGAUCCACUCAUAAAAUGUCUCUGCAGCACAUCACGUACACAGGUUGUGGUAUUUGAGUUACAUUGCCAUUGUCCAGGCCUGCCCUGAAUUUGAUGCAUGCACUCGAGUAAAGGGGUAGAAUAUCUCAGCUGAUGCUUUCCAAAUAUCAGAAAAAGGAAUGAGGAAAGGGAUACAGGAGGGGCUGCAAUUUCACUAUCUCCUUUGCACGAAGGCAAAUAUCCACAUGUACUGUGGAUAGCGUCCAGCUUUUAGGUUCAGCUAUAUAUGGAUUUAUCUACACUAUGUUCAUCCCAUUGUUUGUACUUCCAUGCAUGUUUUUUCUGUUUCAAAUGUUUCGUGGCAUUUCCUUUUAUGGAGAGUACAUCUACAUGGCCUUGGCAAAUGUAAAUCGUGGUCAAUGUA